AGGAGAGGGUGGGCAGAUGAAAACUUACUGGUUGCAUUAAAAGAGGGGAAGGGGGGGCAGAGAAUGGGCUCAUCAGCAUGGCAGCCCCUCCCAUGUGCCCCUCUAUAAAAAGCGGGGGUUCUCCGGCUGCGUUUCAAGAGCUCUGAACUGCAAAAGAUGCCUUGAGAGAGAGAGAGAGAGACGCAGAAAGCUGGAGGGGCCGGCCAGAUGGAGAUGUCAGUCGCCAGCCUGGUAUCCGGAAAUCUACGCAUGGUUACAGUCGGACCUGGAGUUGCAAAACACACCUGGUGCUUGGGGAAAUUGUAACGCUGUGAAUAUGAGACCCUACUGAGGAGGAGGAGGAGGAGGAGGAGGAGGAAGAGAGGCAAGUCGGUGCUGAGGACCUACCCACAGCUGAAAUUCCUCAAGGCUGUGAGAAGGACACGGCGAGAGGCACUGUGGGGUGAGCGAAAGAGUUGGCCAAGGUGCCCAUUCUGGCACAACCCUGCUCUCUUUGAAUGCCAAGAAGUAGGUGUUCUUGCAGUGAUGGAAGGAGCAACACAGAAGCCAGCGAGAUCUGUCCAUGGUGCUGAAACUGCUCCUGCUCUUUUCUGCUCUCUGGCUCCCCCUGGGGGCAAGGGUCCUGAAUGCUGCAUGGAUCUGGAGAGGGUAUUAUUUAUCGCUUGUCCUUCCUCUGACCAACUUGUGUUUGAGAUUAACGUCUAGCUAGCUAGAGUUUAAAAUUACCCUUUGCAGCAUAAAAUGUGGAAACGCUCUGGGACCAAAUUGCUUAACCUUAUUCAUAUUUAUCCAGGAUGCUUUCGCAGACUGGAUCUUCCUCUUUUUUAAAAAAAAAAAUCCCUCUAAACAAGAUAAUCGCACAGAAGCCUGCAAUGCAGGAAUGAAAAUAUUGUUUAUCUGCAUAAAGCUUCAGACUUGUUGCAGCAGUGAAAAACAAGACAGGCAGAAUAUAUUACAAAACAUGCGGUUGAGAUAAAAAAAAAAUGGAGUCUGUGCUCA